rnacentral:rRNA from 1 species
AACGAACGCUGGCGGCAGGCUUAACACAUGCAAGUCGAACGAGAUCUUCGGAUCUAGUGGCAGACGGGUGAGGAACACGUGGGAACAUCCCUUUCAGUUCGGACUCACGUUGGGAAACUCACGCUAAUACCGGAUACGUCCUUCGGGAGAAAGAUUUAUCGCUGAAAGAUUGGCCCGCGUCUGAUUAGCUAGUUGGUGAGGUAAUGGCUCACCAAGGCUACGAUCAGUAGCUGAUCUGAGAGGAUGAUCAGCCACAUUGGGACUGAGACACGGCCCAAACUCCUACGGGAGGCAGCAGUGGGGAAUAUUGGACAAUGGGCGCAAGCCUGAUCCAGCCAUGCCGCGUGAGUGAUGACGGCCUUCGGGUUGUAAAGCUCUAUUGUCCGGGAAGAUAGUGACUGUACCGGAAGAAUAAGCCCCGGCAAACUUCGUGCCAGCAGCCGCAGUAA